UACGGAGGGGGCGAGCGUUGUUCGGAAUCAUUGGGCGUAAAGGGCGCGUAGGCGGCGUCGUAAGUCAAAUGUGAAAGCCCUUGGCUUAACCAAGGAAUUGCAUCUGAAACUGCGGUGCUUGAAUCCGGGAGGGGAGAGUGGAAUUCCCAGUGUAGCGGUGAAAUGCGUAGAUAUUGGGAGGAACACCGGCGGCGAAGGCGGCUCUCUGGACCGGUAUUGACGCUGAGGCGCGAAAGCUAGGGGAGCGAACAGG
rnacentral:rRNA from 1 species